AUUGAACGCUGGCGGCAGGCUUAACAUAUGCAAGUCGAGCGGAGAUGAGGUGCUUGCACCUUAUCUUAGCGGCGGACGGGUGAGUAAUGCUUAGGAAUCUGCCUAUUAGUGGGGGACAACAUUCCGAAAGGAAUGCUAAUACCGCAUACGUCCUACGGGAGAAAGCAGGGGAUCUUCGGACCUUGCGCUAAUAGAUGAGCCUAAGUCGGAUUAGCUAGUUGGUGGGGUAAAGGCCUACCAAGGCGACGAUCUGUAGCGGGUCUGAGAGGAUGAUGCGCCACACUGGGACUGAGACACGGCCCAGACGCCUACGGGAGGCAGCAGUGGGGAAUAUUGGACAAUGGGGGGAACCCUGAUCCAGCCAUGCCGCGUGUGUGAAGAAGGCCUUAUGGUUGUAAAGCACUUUAAGCGAGGAGGAGGCUACUGAGACUAAUACUCUUGGAUAGUGGACGUUACUCGCAGAAUAAGCACCGGCUAACUCUGUGCCAGCAGCCGCGGUAA
rnacentral:rRNA from 1 species